AUCCGUCUGACAAGUCCUAAAUAGGACGAAACGCGCAUCCUAGAU
rnacentral:hammerhead_ribozyme from 1 species